rnacentral:rRNA from 1 species
GAUGAACGCUAGCGGCAGGCUUAACACAUGCAAGUCGAGGGGCAGCACGGGUAGCAAUACUUGGUGGCGACCGGCGCAAGGGUGCGUAACGCGUGAGCAACAUGCCCGUAUCAGGGGGAUAAUCCAGGGAAACUUGGUCUAAUACCCCAUAGCAAUUAAAGGAGGCAUCUUUUUAAUUUAAAGCUUUGGUGGAUACGGAUUGGCUCGCGUGACAUUAGCUAGAUGGUAAGGUAACGGCUUACCAUGGCUACGAUGUCUAGGGGUUCUGAGAGGAAGAUCCCCCACACUGGAACUGAGACACGGUCCAGACUCCUACGGGAGGCAGCAGUGAGGAAUAUUGGUCAAUGGUGGGAACACUGAACCAGCCAUUCCGCGUGCAGGAUGAAUGCCCUCUGGGUUGUAAACUGCUUUAGUCUGGGAAGAAAAAGCCUUAUUAAUGAGGAACUGACGGUACCAGAAGAAUAAGCACCGGCUAACUCCGUG